UGAGACCUCAGGUCACGGGGCUACCGCUGAAUUUAAGCUAUCAAUAAGCGGAAGAAAAGAAAUUUAACAAGGAUUCCCUUAGUAACGGCGAGCGAACGGGAUAAGCCCACCAUGAGUAUCGGUCGCCUUCGGCGUUCGAAUUGUAGUCCUGGAGAGCGGUCCUCAGCGGCGGACCGGGCCCAAGUCCCUGGAAGGGGGCCGGAGAGGGUGAAGCCCCGUUUUGCUCGGACCCUGCGCACCACGAGGCGCUGUCGGCGAGCUGGUGUUUGGAAUGCAGCCCCAAUCGGACGGUAAAUUCCGUCCAAAGGCUAAAAUAUUGGCGAGAACCAAGCGAACAAGACCGCGAGGGAGAAGAUGAAAAGGACUUUGAAAAGAGAGUCAAAGAGUGCUUGAAUUUCGGGAGGGAAGCGAUGGGGCCGCGAUGUGUCUCGGUCGGAUGUGGAAACGGUUGUGCCGGUCCGCCAAUGGACUCGGGAAAGACCGACGCGGAUGUGAUGGGGGCCAAGCCUGGCUGUUGAAUGCUCGCGGAGACUCAUCAUCACGAUGUGGCGGCAGCGCGCGCCGUUUCGGCUGCUACGGCACUUGCGCGCUCCUGGCGUCGGCCUGCUGGGCUCCCCAUUCGACCCGUCUUGAAACACGGACCAAGUCUGACAUGUGUGCGAGUAUCAACGCGAUAAACCCAUAAGCGCAAGGAAAGCUGAUUGGUGGGAUCCUCUUGUGGGUUGCACCGCCGACCGACCCCGAUCUUCUGUGAAGGGUUCGAGUGAGAGCAUACCUGUCGGGACCCGAAAGAUGGUAACUAUGCCUGAGCCGCGGCGAAGCCAGAGAAAACUCUGGUGAGGCCCGCACGAUACUGACGUGCAAAUCGUUCGUCUGCACUUGGGUUAUAGGGCGGCGAAAGACUAAUAGAACCGUCUAGUAGCUGGUUCCCUCCGAAGUUUCCUCAGGAUAGUGAGCCCGUGAGGCGAUUCUAUCGGGUAAAUCCAAUAUAGGCAUCGGGGCGCAACGCCCUCGACCUAUUCUCAAACUAAAUAGUAGGACGGUUUGUGGCUGCUUUGUGAGCAUGCCAUGGAAUCGAGAGCUCCAAAGUGGGCCAUUUUUGGUAAGCAGAACUGCGAUGCGGGAUGAACCGGAACUGGUUACGGUGCCAACUGCGCGCUAACCUAGACCCCACAAAGGGUGUUGUCGAUUAAGACAGCAGGACGGUGGUCUGGAAGUCGAAAUCCGCUAAGGAGUGUGUAACAACUCACCUGCGAGAUCAACUAGCCCCGCAAAUGGUGGCGCUAAAGCGCGAGACAUAUACCCGGCCGUUGGGCAAAGGCCAGCCCGAUGAGUAGGAGGGUGCGCGCUGCUGCAAAACCCGGGGCGCGAGCCUGGCGAGCGGUCGUCGGUGCAGAUUCUUGUGUAGUAGCAAUAUUCAAAUGAGAACUUUGAAGCCAAAGAGGGAAAGGUUCCAUGUGAACGACACUUGCACAUGGGUUAGUCGAUCCUAAGGACGGGGAAGCCCGUCUGAUAGCGCUCUAAGCGCGUACACCGAAAGGGAAUCGGGUUAAAAUCCUGAACCGGGAUGGUGGCUGACGCAACGUUAGGGAGUCCGGAGACGUUGCGGGGCCCGGAAGAGUUUAUCUUUUCUGUUAACAGCCUGCCCACCCUGGAAACGGCUCAGCCGGAGGUAGGUCCAGCGCUGGAAAGAGACCGCACGCGUGGUGUCCGGUGCGCCCCUUUGGGCCUUGAAAAAUCGGAGGACGAGUGCUUCCAUGCCCGUCGUACUCAUAACGCGCUCAGUCUCCAAGUUGAACAGCCCUUGGUCGAUGGAACAAUGUGGCAAGGGAAGUCGCAAAAUGGAUCCUACCUCGGAAAGAUUGGCUCUGAGGGCUGGGCACGGGGGUCCCAGUUCCGAACCCGUCGGCUUUUGGUGGACUGCUUGAGCUGCUCCCGCGGCGAGAGCGGGUCACCGCGUGCGGUCGGUGACGGAUUGGAACGGGCCUUCGGGGCCUCUUCCCAAGGCAUCGAACAUCAACUCAGAACUGGACGAACAAGGGAAUCCGACUGUUCAAUUUUCCCACUGUCCCUGUCUAAUAUCCACGGAAACCACAGCCAAGAACGGUUGGCGGAAUCAGCGGGAAAGAAGACCCUGUGAGCUUGACUCUAGUCCGACUUUGUGAAAAUGCACUUGAGAGGUGUAGGAUAAGUGGGAGCUGGAAACAGCGAAAGUGAAAACCACUACUUUAACGUUAUUUACUUAUUUCCGUUGAAUCGGAGGCGGGGCGCUGCCCCUCUUUUGGAUCCAAGGCUGAUUCGGUGGCCCAAAUCCGGGCGGAAGACAUGUCAGGUGGGGAGUUUGCGCAUGGGCGGGCACAUCGUUAAAAGAUAACGCAGGUGUCCUAAGAUGAGCUCAACGAGAACAGAAAUCUCGUGUGAACAAAAGGGUAAAAGCUCGUUUGAUUCUGAUUCUCAGUUACGAAUACGAACCGUGAAAGCGUAGGCCUAUCGAGCCUUUAGUCCUAUACGGAAUUUUGAAGCUAGAGGUGUCAGAAAAGUUACCACAGCAUAAACUGGCUUGUGGCAGCCAAGCGUUUCAUAGCGCGUUGCUUUUUUGAUCCUUCGAUGUCGGCUCUUCUAUCAUGUGAAGCAGAAUUCACCAAGUGUUGGAUUGUUCACCCACCAAUAAGGAACGUGAGCUGGGGUUUGACCGUCGUGAGACGGUUAGUUUACCCUACUUAUGAGUGUCGGCAAUAGUAAUUCAACCUAGUACGAGAGGAACCGUUUGAUUCGCACAAUUGUCAUCGCGGCUGGUUGAAAGCCAGUGGCGCUAAGCUAACGUGCGUUGGAUUAUGACUGAACGCCUCUAAGUCAGAAUCCGGCUAGAAGCGAUGCUGUGCCCGUCGUUCGCUUUGCCGACCAGCAGUAGGGGGCCUUGCCCCCCAGAGGCAGUUGUCGUUGGUGGACCUCGUAAGGCGAUGAGCCUUGCGGACACCUUGAAACGCAAUUCCUAUUGAGCGGCGGGUAGAAUCUUUUGCAGACGACUUAAAUACGCGACGGGUAUUGUAAGUGGCAGAGUGGCCUUGCUGCCACAAUUCCACUGAGAUUCACCUAGUCGCUUCGAUUCGU
rnacentral:rRNA from 1 species